CUUAAAUUGAAGAGUUUGAUCAUGGCUCAGAUUGAACGCUGGCGGCAGGCCUAACACAUGCAAGUCGAGCGAAAACGAGUUAUCUGAACC
rnacentral:rRNA from 1 species